CGCAAAUAAGAUUUGAAGGCAGGUUGUUUUUUAAGUGUUUUGUUUUUUAUCACAAGGGCUUGAUGGCAGCUUCUUGCAGUGAGUUAUUAAAAUGUCUUUCCUCUUACCAUCUCUUGCUACCAUUCAAUAUCUUGUGAUACUUCACUUCCUUAAUUGAAUACUAGUAUAUAUGCAUUAUUUAUAUUAAUAUCAGUAGCUGAGUUAGGAAACUAAACUUACCAGCUAAUUAAGUCUCUUCAGAAUUGGUGAGUUAAGAAUCAAAGCAAAGUCACUGAUACAGAAAAGGUAAAUUGUUUUUGUUAGAAUUGAAAUUUUUCUCAGUUUUAUGCAAUUAUACUGCUAUUAGCCUUUUCUUCAACUGGCUCUUGCCAAAAUGUCCUUGUCUUAAUACUAACAUACUGUACAUUCCUUUUUUUUCAGUCUGACACUUUUUAUUUAGUCUGACACUAACUCUUGUCAUGAAGUGGUUGCAUUUCAUCUGUGAGGGUGGAAUCCUUUUGUAUUUCAGUUAUUCUCCUAUGGGUUAGCAGUACUAUAGCAUUCAAGAAAGUUGUGUGAGAUGGGACACCUGGGGAUGACUGUCAAAAGCCUGGAAAUUCUUAAUUCUUAAAACUUUAAAAGAGGUCUUUUAUGUAUUUAUAAGGAAAGCUUGGAAAUUUUUGUGUGAAAAUGUGGUGCUAGUGAAGACCUUGCAAAACAUCUGAUUUUUGUGAUAGCACAAUAGAAUCAGAAUUGCUAUCAGUGCAUAAAACUAUUCAGCAUUUGGGUUUUGGCUUAUUUUAAUUCUAAAUAUAGAGCAAUGUAAAUUUUAUUAAGAUAUCCUUUAAACUUGAGAGCAAGUUACAUAAAUUUAUUACUAAAAAUCAUUGUCCAUUUUGGAAAGCUGAGUGGUUGUAGUGCACUCUGCUCUGCUAAUCUGAGCCGACUGUUGCUCUGUAAUUACCUCUGUGUGCUCUUGAGUUAUGCAUGAUAAUGCAGUAAACAGUGUUCCUCAUAGUUGAUUAAUCUAUAACUGAUCCAGGGGACAAACAGGCUUACCACACCUGCAGGUGAAGGGCAUGCAGGUGCCUGAGGUGGCUGUUAAGGUGCUCUUUAAGCCUGCCGUGGUAGGUGAGGCAGCAGGGGGCAAUUGCCGUGGCUUUUGUGUUCGUGGAGGGGUGAAAACCUAACAGCCCAAGAGGUGGGUUGGGCAUAUGCUUCUAAACUCCCCUACAUCCUUUCCCUGUCCUGGAUCAAGCAGAGAGGGUGUCUUUAAAACAACAUUCCUGGCAUGCAGUCAAGGGUGAGAGAAAUAUCCUACUGCUGUGGACAGCCUGCAGGAGACCUGGCUUGUGCUGGUGUGGGCUGCCCUUGGUCUUCAGCCUGGAAAAUCGACUCUUUAACUUUAAUUUUACUUAUUUUCUGCAUAAGGGCUGCUUGUGCAUGGGUUAUAUGAAAAGCUUCUUGUUCAUAGAAAUGCGAAUAUUAACAUUGUGUGUGUUAAUAAGGAAUUUAAAGGAACUUCAAAACCCAAGUGAGUUACCUCUUCAAAGGAUUUUCAUGGAGCUUAAACAAACAAGUAUCUGCUCAUCAUAAAUGUGGAGGAUUAUUAGUUCCUAGUUUUAACAACUGUUACCUUUUAACACUAUUAUGAUUGUUUUCCCCAGCUGGCCAAUGCCAACUGUAAAGUUCACUAGUAUUUUAUGGGAUUUUUCUGGACUGUUGUCACCAAAUGCAGUUGAGCUCCUGGAGAAAAGUAGGCUUACAGCUGUAAAACCUGAGAAAUAUGAGAGUUUUGUAACAUGGUAUAUAUCAUAUAUCUUAUCACAGUGAAUAUUGUGCCCUCUUUUCUAGGUCCCAAGUGCCAUUUAGGUUUUGUA